rnacentral:rRNA from 1 species
UGCGUAGGCGGUCUGGUAAGUCAGAGGUGAAAGUUUGCAGCUUAACUGUAAAAUUGCCUUUGAUACUGUCAGACUUGAAACAGGUUGAGGUUGGCGGAAUGUGGCAUGUAGCGGUGAAAUGCAUAGAUAUGCCAUAGAACACCAAUUGCGAAGGCAGCCAGCUGGGCCUUGUUUGACGCUGAGGCACGAAAGCGGUGGGGAGCGAACA